rnacentral:rRNA from 1 species
AGCGAACGCUGGCGGCAGGCCUAACACAUGUAAGUCGAACGGAUCCUUCGGGAUUAGUGGCGGACGGGUGAGUAACACGUGGGAACGUGCCUUUUGGUUCGGAACAACUCAGGGGAACUUGAGCUAAUACCGGAUGUGCCCUUCGGGGGAAAGAUUUAUCGCCAUUAGAGCGGCCCGCGUCUGAUUAGCUUGUUGGUGAGGUAAAGGCUCACCAAGGCUACGAUCAGUAGCUGGUCUGAGAGGAUGAUCAGCCACACUGGGACUGAGACACGGCCCAGACUCCUACGGGAGGCAGCAGUGGGGAAUCUUGCGCAAUGGGCGAAAGCCUGACGCAGCCAUGCCGCGUGAAUGAUGAAGGUCUUAGGAUUGUAAAAUUCUUUCACCGGGGACGAUAAUGACGGUACCCGGAGAAGAAGCUCCGGCUAACUUCGUGCCAGCCGCCGCCGUAAGAC